rnacentral:rRNA from 1 species
AGCAACAAAUGCCCUGCUUCCAGGAAAAGCCUCUAAGCAUCAGGUAACAUCAAAUCGUACCCCAAACCGACACAGGUGGUCAGGUAGAGAAUACCAAGGCGCUUGAGAGAACUCGGGUGAAGGAACUAGGCAAAAUGGUGCCGUAACUUCGGGAGAAGGCACGCUGACACGUAGGUGAAGUGAUUUACUCACGGAGCUGAAGUCAGUCGAAGAUACCAGCUGGCUGCAACUGUUUAUUAAAAACACAGCACUGUGCAAACACGAAAGUGGACGUAUACGGUGUGACGCCUGCCCGGUGCCGGAAGGUUAAUUGAUGGGGU